AAACGAGGACAUGGAAAAUAUAUUAGAACCCGGGAUUUUCGUGCACUAAUCAUUUUGAAAUUAAGGUAGGAGUAUUAAAAAUAUUCAAACAAUUUUAAAUGACAGCAUUUAGCCUGCCCGAAAGACCAAACAAUUGAGAUUUAGAUCGAAACACCGAUUAAAAAAUCGUGUUAAAUUUAAUCUGUUGUAAUUUAACGACUAUAACCGUUUCUGCGUCUUGAAGUGUAGGCUACGCUAUUUCAUUUGGUAGAAGAAAGGAGGACACGUUUCGAAAAGAAAUGUGUGGCUAUUAAUGUAUCUAUUUCGGUUAACCAAAACCAAAUUUACCAAAAUCGAUUAAAAAGUUUAACAGCAUAUAAUUAAACCUGUCCAAUAAUCAAGCAUUAAAAAGAUUUAAGUGCAGUAAGGCCUUUAGUGAAAUAUAGAUCACAUCUCAAAAAAGCCCACCACAAAUUCACAAAGUAAGGUUUCAUUAAGAAUUUAAGAGUGCCGUAUAAGCGAUCGGUUCAUGCAGUGCAUCGAUUUGAAAAUGCAGCUAAAAAAAGUUUAAUUUAUCCACUUUAUCUAUUUUCAUUUUUAUUGUUACCCCACCUCAUGAAUAUUAAUGAGUGGCUAAUCCCCACUUAGAAUUACAUUUCAGAAUAGUGUGCGUAAAGUUUAAUAGGCAGACGGAGAGGAAACGUGAAAAGGAGUGAAGAAAAACUCGGCCCUUCCAGAAAAGAAACGAAAUCAGCACAUAGAGAGAGUCUGAGCCUCAGAGAAUCAAAGAAAGCACCUUUCAAGCCUCACUUUCCCAAAGAAAUGCCAAUAAAAUACGGUAACAGAAUAUCACGGAGGGCGCGGUGUUUCCUUAACUGUUUCUGAAAGGCUCAGAAGAUCUUAAUAAGGCUUCGCUCGGUCCUUUUGUUGAUCUCACAAAAUCAACUCAUUCUAAUUGAGGCCUGAGCUGAAAGCGACCUAAUGUUCAAAGCAAGUGACCGCCGGAGGAACGAAAUUACAUUUUUUACUAUAUGGGGCAUCCAAUCAAACGCCGGCCGGCCGGCUUUACACGUUCUUCAAUAGAUCAACAAUGUCAUCGACAAAAGUGCUCUUGGGAGUAGCAGAGAUGCUGCUGUUAGCUGUCAAUAGACGCGGAAAAACUAAAGGGAAAGUUAUUGGAUACUGCUUCAGAAGGGGGACAGGGAAUGCGCAUAUUAAAUGUUUAUCCUGCCUGUUUAAAGCGCUAGUGCCUUCAGCCCACGCUUAAAAAAGACAAAUUACACAUGCCCUUAAACUGUUUCCAAGGAUAAUAAUAAUAACAACAAAAACGUUAUCCUCAAACGAACAUAACAGAAAUAUAUAACAAUUCCUGCAUUUUGCUGGUUUACUCUGGGCCCCGAUGUUGCUAAGACCCCGUGAUAAACCCAGAACAAGUAUCAAGUUAUCAGGUUGCAAGAAGCUUUUGUAAUAAGAGUAUUUUGUCUAAUCCCAAAUUGCAGUCGAAUUUUCUAAAUGCUGAGCUCGUAAAUCUUGGGAUUAGAGGAGGCGAGAAGAGGAGGGGGAAAAGUUUGGUUUCUUUAGCCGGCAGGAUGGGAGCGGGUCGGCGAUGUUGUCGGUCCUUAUUAAAACGAUGAUGCAUAAAAUUCGAUAUUGAAGCUCACGCAGAAGGCUCGGUACCGGCGUAUUUUACCACGAAGGAAGGAUUUUCGGCGGUCGAAGGGCUUUGGUGAAGUCGAACUGUUCAGCACCUGAAGUCAGGCCGUGGACUUCAAAGCAAGAGCCACAGAUCGCGCUUCUCCGCCCGCGCUGAGAUGCUCCACUUCUCUUUGCCACGCCGUUUGGAGAGUUUUAUUAUGUGAUAAACAAUCUAUUUAAAAGAAGUCACUUUUUACCACUACUGGUUUAAGCUGGAAAACAAUAGUUGGCAACAAAAAGAACAACAAUCAGGAAUGAUCGUCACUGAAGGACGCACUUCUCCUCUUUCUUUGCCAUCUUGCCUUUGUUCUGUUCCAGGGUUCUCUCCAGGUGUUCGUCUUCCUCUUCAGCCCUGCCGACACACACACACACACACACACACACACACACACACACACACACUGGAUCAGAGGUCAUUGAUGGAGAAGCAUGAGAACAGCAGAUGCACCUUCAGUACCUAUGACCUGAACUCUGGCUGAAGGCUCACUUUGACUCCUGAAAUUCUCACAAGUCCUGACUCCACCUAAACACACUCUGUGGCAAAGAGAUGUGGGUGACUGCAAUCUGUGGCGUUUAAAACCCUCUCGGAACAACACUAUUGGGCCUAAUUCUGUCCCACAAUCCCACAGUGCCUUGCGGCAAGGAGACUCACUCUUUCUCCUGGGCGUCCAGGUCUCGGACCAGCGCAUCUCGUUUGUUGACUAGAAUGACCAGCUCAUCCAGCAGCAGCUGCUCUCGCCGCUUCUGGGCCUCUGUCUUCUGCCAGUCUGGAGGAUGGAGAGGAAAAGAGGAAUGUUAGAGGGAAAAAAACUCAGGACUUCAAAUGAUGAACAUGAACAUGACAGGCCGGCCUGUUUAUCCUGCACAGUUCUCUAUACGUUGCAUGUCAUUCACGAGCCUCCUCUAUAAUUCGCUCUGUCGUUUCUGCAACCCCUCCGUCAAGAACCACAAUGCCCACUUCACAAAGCCCUGCCUGGAGGGUAGACUGUGACCAACAAAAACUUCUCCUGCAUGUCCCAAAGAGGUAGAGGGCGAGAGAAAAAGCCCCUGGACUUUUUACCUCCUCCUCCUGUUCCCCUUCAGCGUUCUCAGCCAAAAAGCCACAGAUCCUCCCCUGCACCUCCGGCAGAGGCCGCAUGCAGCUGUCAAUCAAGCCGAGCGGCGCCGCCCCCCUCAUUAAGAAGGUAAACAAUGAAUAUGGACGCAGAGGGACAGGGCAGAGCAAACCACUGAGCGCAACUUGCCAAAAAAACACUAACGGAAGCUGCUGCCUCCUCUCUUUUCCUCCGAGAAGAGACGGACGGACUAUUUGGAGUUGGUGGUGGUGGUGGUGUUGGGUGGGAAGGGGGGGUUCAAUCCCUUUUGGAUUACUCCCCUCUUUUUCUCUCUCUCAUCGCCCUGGGCAAUCACGUUAAAACUCACAUGGUCGGUGCUUAUUCAGAUAACCCUAACAAUGCACACCAAUGGUAACCAUGUGAGCACUCACAACCCACAGAAGAAUGCGCUGGUUCAAAUCCCCAUGACCCUCCUCCACAGCAAAAUUUAUUCAAGAGUGCAACCUGCUCGGCAGCUUCAGGAGGCACAGAGCUGAGCUUCUUCUGAAAGAUCACCAAACACAAACUUCACACACAUGCGGACACAACUUUUGGAGCCAGCGGAGUGGGUUUGAACUUAUUUUGGAGGACGAAAUAACAGGAAAUAAGUAGUGUUGGAGGAAUCCAGGGAAAAUGCAUGCUCUUAUUACAGCAGAUUUGGGUGAGCAGUGGGCAGGCUGAGAGCGCCAGCAUAAGAUGGAGCUGGAGAGAGGCCAGCUGGGAACCAGACAAAGACCAACAUGGACAAGGAGGGUGACGGGACAACAGUCCCCGGAUUCUUACCCUAAAAAUACAUGAGAAUUAAAGUGACUUCAUCAAAUAAAUAAAUAAACACAAAGUGUCUGAAUGGCUA